AUUGAACGCUGGCGGCAGGCCUAACACAUGCAAGUCGAGCGAGAGGCGGACGGGUGAGUAAUGUCUGGGAAACUGCCCGAUGGAGGGGGAUAACUACUGGAAAAGGUAGCUAAUACAGCAUACCAUCAGAUGUGCCCAGAUGGGUUUAGCGAGUAGGGGGGGUAACGGCUCACCUAGGCGACGAUCCCUAGCUGUUCUGCGAGGAUGACCCGCCACACUGGAACUGAGACACGUUCCAGACUCCUACGGGAGGCAGCAGUGGGGAAUAUUGCACAAUGGGCGCAAGCCUGAUGCAGCCAUGCCGCGUGUGUGAAGAAGGCCUUCGGGUUGUAAAGCACUUUCAGCGGGGAGGCGUUACCCGCAGAAGAAGCACCGGCUAACUCCGUGCCAGCAGCCGCGGUAAUUC
rnacentral:rRNA from 1 species